rnacentral:rRNA from 1 species
AAAGGAAUUGACGGGGGCCCGCACAAGCAGCGGAGCAUGUGGUUUAAUUCGAUGCGACGCGAAGAACCUUACCAGGUCUUGACAUCCACUUGAGCUCAUGGAGACAUGAGGGCCCUUCGGGGAGAGUGAGACAGGUGGUGCAUGGUUGUCGUCAGCUCGUGUCGUGAGAUGUUGGGUUAAGUCCCGCAACGAGCGCAACCCCUGUGUUCAGUUACUAACGCGUAAAGGCGAGGACUCUGGACAGACCGCCGGCGACAAGCCGGAGGAAGGUGGGGAUGAUGUCAAAUCAUCAUGCCCCUUAUGACCUGGGCUACACACGUGCUACAAUGGCCGUCACAGAGAGGGACGAAGCCGUAAGGCGGAGGGAAUCUCAAAAAGGCGGUCUCAGUUCGGAUUGAGGGCUGCAACCCGCCCUCAUGAAGUCGGAGUUGCUAGUAAUCGCGAAUCAGCAUGUCGCGGUGAAUGCGUUCCCGGGCCUUGUACACACCGCCCGU